rnacentral:rRNA from 1 species
AUUGAACGCUGGCGGCAGGCUUAACACAUGCAAGUCGAGCGGGGGGAAGGUAGCUUGCUACCUAACCUAGCGGCGGACGGGUGAGUAAUGCUUAGGAAUCUGCCUAUUAGUGGGGGACAACAUUUCGAAAGGGAUGCUAAUACCGCAUACGCCCUAAGGGGGAAAGCAGGGGAUCUUCGGACCUUGCGCUAAUAGAUGAGCCUAAGUCGGAUUAGCUAGUUGGUGGGGUAAAGGCCUACCAAGGCGACGAUCUGUAGCGGGUCUGAGAGGAUGAUACGCCACAAUGGGAGUGAGACAUGGCCCAGACUGCUACGGUGGGCAGCAGUUGAGAAUAUUGGACAAUGGGGGGAACCCUGAUCCAGCCAUGCCGCGUGUGUGAAGAAGGCCUUUUGGUUGUAAAGCACUUUAAGCGAGGAGGAGGCUACCGAGAUUAAUACUCUUGGAUAGUGGACGUUACUCGCAGAAUAAGCACCGGCUAACUCUGUGCCAGCAGCCGCGGUAAAAC